rnacentral:miRNA from 1 species
CCCGCACUAUGAUUGCCAAACUC